UUAAGCGACUAAGCGUACACGGUGGAUGCCCUGGCAGUCAGAGGCGAUGAAGGACGUGCUAAUCUGCGAAAAGCGUCGGUAAGGUGAUAUGAACCGUUACAGCCGGCGAUGUCCGAAUGGGGAAACCCAGUGCAAUUCGUUGCACUAUCGUUAACUGAAUACAUAGGUUAACGAGGCGAACCGGGGGAACUGAAACAUCUAAGUACCCCGAGGAAAAGAAAUCAACCGAGAUUCCCCCAGUAGCGGCGAGCGAACGGGGAGCAGCCCGGAGUCUGAAUCAGCUUGUGUGUUAGUGGAAGCGUCUGGAAAGUCGCAGGGUACAGGGUGAUACUCCCGUACACUAAAACACACAGGUUGUGAACUCGAAGAGUAGGGCGGGACACGUGGUAUCCUGUCUGAAUAUGGGGGGACCAUCCUCCAAGGCUAAAUACUCCUGACUGACCGAUAGUGAACCAGUACCGUGAGGGAAAGGCGAAAAGAACCCCGGCGAGGGGAGUGAAAAAGAACCUGAAACCGUGUACGUACAAGCAGUAGGAGCCCACUUGUUGGGUGACUGCGUACCUUUUGUAUAAUGGGUCAGCGACUUAUAUUCUGUAGCAAGGUUAACCGUAUAGGGGAGCCGCAGGGAAACCGAGUCUUAACUGGGCGUUAAGUUGCAGGGUAUAGACCCGAAACCCGGUGAUCUAGCCAUGGGCAGGUUGAAGGUUGGGUAACACUAACUGGAGGACCGAACCGACUAAUGUUGAAAAAUUAGCGGAUGACUUGUGGCUGGGGGUGAAAGGCCAAUCAAACCGGGAGAUAGCUGGUUCUCCCCGAAAGCUAUUUAGGUAGCGCCUCGUGAACUCAUCUUCGGGGGUAGAGCACUGUUUCGGCUAGGGGGUCAUCCCGACUUACCAACCCGAUGCAAACUACGAAUACCGAAGAAUGUUAUCACGGGAGACACACGGCGGGUGCUAACGUCCGUCGUGAAGAGGGAAACAACCCAGACCGCCAGCUAAGGUCCCAAAGUCAUGGUUAAGUGGGAAACGAUGUGGGAAGGCCCAGACAGCCAGGAUGUUGGCUUAGAAGCAGCCAUCAUUUAAAGAAAGCGUAAUAGCUCACUGGUCGAGUCGGCCUGCGCGGAAGAUGUAACGGGGCUAAACCAUGCACCGAAGCUGCGGCAGCGACACUAUGUGUUGUUGGGUAGGGGAGCGUUCUGUAAGCCGUUGAAGGUGGCCUGUGAGGGUUGCUGGAGGUAUCAGAAGUGCGAAUGCUGACAUAAGUAACGAUAAUGCGGGUGAAAAACCCGCACGCCGGAAGACCAAGGGUUCCUGUCCAACGUUAAUCGGGGCAGGGUGAGUCGACCCCUAAGGCGAGGCCGAAAGGCGUAGUCGAUGGGAAACAGGUUAAUAUUCCUGUACUCGGUGUUACUGCGAAGGGGGGACGGAGAAGGCUAUGUUGGCCGGGCGACGGUUGUCCCGGUUUAAGCAUGUAGGCGGAUGUUCCAGGUAAAUCCGGAAUGUCACUAACGCUGAGGUGUGAUGACGAGGCACUACGGUGCUGAAGUGACAAAUGCCCUGCUUCCAGGAAAAGCCUCUAAGCAUCAGGUAACAUCAAAUCGUACCCCAAACCGACACAGGUGGUCAGGUAGAGAAUACCAAGGCGCUUGAGAGAACUCGGGUGAAGGAACUAGGCAAAAUGGUGCCGUAACUUCGGGAGAAGGCACGCUGAUGGUAGGUGAAGCGACUUGCUCGUGGAGCUGAAAUCAGUCGAAGAUACCAGCUGGCUGCAACUGUUUAUUAAAAACACAGCACUGUGCAAACACGAAAGUGGACGUAUACGGUGUGACGCCUGCCCGGUGCCGGAAGGUUAAUUGAUGGGGUUAUCCUCGCGGAGAAGCUCUUGAUCGAAGCCCCGGUAAACGGCGGCCGUAACUAUAACGGUCCUAAGGUAGCGAAAUUCCUUGUCGGGUAAGUUCCGACCUGCACGAAUGGCGUAAUGAUGGCCAGGCUGUCUCCACCCGAGACUCAGUGAAAUUGAACUCGCUGUGAAGAUGCAGUGUACCCGCGGCAAGACGGAAAGACCCCGUGAACCUUUACUAUAGCUUGACACUGAACACUGGUCCUUGAUGUGUAGGAUAGGUGGGAGGCUUUGAAGUGUGGACGCCAGUCUGCAUGGAGCCAUCCUUGAAAUACCACCCUUUAAUGGCUGGUGUUCUAACGUGGGCCCGUAAUCCGGGUUGCGGACAGUGUCUGGUGGGUAGUUUGACUGGGGCGGUCUCCUCCUAAAGAGUAACGGAGGAGCACGAAGGUCAGCUAAUCCUGGUCGGACAUCAGGAGGUUAGUGCAAUGGCAUAAGCUGGCUUGACUGCGAGCGUGACGGCGCGAGCAGGUGCGAAAGCAGGUCAUAGUGAUCCGGUGGUUCUGAAUGGAAGGGCCAUCGCUCAACGGAUAAAAGGUACUCCGGGGAUAACAGGCUGAUACCGCCCAAGAGUUCAUAUCGACGGCGGUGUUUGGCACCUCGAUGUCGGCUCAUCACAUCCUGGGGCUGAAGUAGGUCCCAAGGGUAUGGCUGUUCGCCAUUUAAAGUGGUACGCGAGCUGGGUUUAGAACGUCGUGAGACAGUUCGGUCCCUAUCUGCCGUGGGCGCUGGAGAAUUGAGGGGGGCUGCUCCUAGUACGAGAGGACCGGAGUGGACGCAUCACUGGUGUUCGGGUUGUCAUGCCAAUGGCAUUGCCCGGUAGCUAAAUGCGGAAGAGAUAAGUGCUGAAAGCAUCUAAGCACGAAACUUGCCCCGAGAUGAGUUCUCCCUGACCCUUUAAGGGUCCUGAAGGAACGUUGAAGACGACGACGUUGAUAGGCCGGGUGUGUAAGCGCAGCGAUGCGUUGAGCUAACCGGUACUAAUGAACCGUGAGGCUUAACCUU
rnacentral:rRNA from 1 species